UCCUUUUUAUGAUUGAAUAAUAUUCCAUUGCAGAGAUAUACUGCAUUUUGUUUAUUCAUUCAUCUGUUGACAUUUGGGUGGUUUCCACUUUUUGGCUCUUAUGUAUAAUGCUGCUGUGAACAUUCAUGUACAAGUUUUUGUGUGGACAUGUUUUCAGUUCUUGGAUUAAUUCCACAUGACAGAGUGGAAUUAAUGGGUCAUAUGGUAACUCCAUAUAGUAACUUUUUAAGGAACUGUAAAAACUUUUUCAAAGCGAUUAUAUCAUUUUAUAUUCCCAACAGCAAAGUAUGAAGUUUCCAAUUUCUCCACAUCCAUCACCAAUCCUUGUUAUUGUCCAUCUAUCUAUCUGUCUAUUUAUUUGUUUAUUUGUUUGUUUGUUUUUGAAAUGGAGUCUCACUCUCGCCCAGGCUGAAGUGCAAUGAUGCCAUCUUGUCUCACUGCAACCUCCGCUUCCUGGGUUUUUUGUUUGUUUUCUGGGUUUUUUUGUUUGUUUGUUUGUUUUUGAGACGGAGUUUCACUCUUGUUGCCCAGGCUGGAGUGCAGUGGCAUGAUCUUGGCUCACCGCAACCUCCACCUCCCAGGUUCAAGCAGUUCUCCUGCCUCAGCCUCCUGAGUAGCUGGGAUUACAGGCAUGCACCACCAUGCCUGGUUAAUUUUGUAUUUUUAGUAGAGACAGGGUUUCUCCAUGUUGGUCAGGCUGAUCUUGAACACCUGACCUCAGAUGAUCCACCUGCCUCGGCCUCCCCAAGUGCUGGGAUUAAGGCAUGAGCCACCACGCCCAGCCAGCCUCCUGGGUUUAAGCAAUUCUCCUGCCUCAGCCUCCUGAGUAGCUGGGAUUUUUUUGUUUGUUUAUUUGUUUUGUUUUUUGUUUUUAUUUUAUUUUUUGAGACGGAGUUUUGCUCUUGUUCCCCAGGCUGGAGUGCAGUAGCGUGAUCUUGGGUCACUGAAACCUCUGCCUCCCAGGUUCAAGCAAUUCCCCUGUCUCAGCCUCCUUAGUAGCUGGGACUACAGGCGCAUGCCACCACACCUGGCUAAUUUUCAUAUUUUUAUUAGAGAUAGGGUUUUACCACGUUGGCCAGGCUGGUCUCGAACUCCUGACCUCAGGUGAUCCGCCUGUCUUGGCCUCCCAAAGUGCUGGGAUUACAGGCAUGAGCCACCAUGCCUGGACUGUUUGUUUUUGAGACAAAGUCUUGAGUGUAGUGGCACAAACAGGGCUUAUGGCAGCCUUGACCUCCUGGGCUCAAGCAGUCCUCCUGCCUUAGCAUCCCAUGUAGCUGAGACCACAGGCACAUGCCACCACACAUCUAAUUUUUUAAUAUUUUGUAGAGACAGAGUUUUGCUAUGUUGCUCAGGCUGGUCUUGAACUCCCGGGAUCAAGCAGUCCUUCUGCAUCAGCCUCCCAAAGUACUGGGAUUACAGGCAUGAGCCAUCACACCUAGCCCCCAUUUUUUCUAUUACAGCCAACCUAAUAGAUGUGAAGUAGUAGUUCACUGUGGUUUUGAUUUGCAUUUCCCUAAUGGCUGAUUUUCAUGUGUUUAUUGGCCAUUUAAAUAUCUUCUUUGGCAACAUGUCUAUUUAAGUCCGUUGCGUGCUUUUUUUUUUUUUUUUUUUGGAGACAGAGUCUUGCUCUGUCGCCCAGGCUGGAGUGCACUGGUGCAGUCUCAGCUCACUGCAACCUCUGCCUUCUGGGUUCAAGCAAUUCUCGUGCUACAGCCUCCCGAGCAGCUGGGACUACAGGUGCGCACCACCACACGUGGCUAAUUUUAUAUUUUUAGUAGAGAUGGAGUUCACCAUGUUGGCCAGGCUGGUUUUGAACUUUUGGCCUCAGGUGAUUCACCCACCUCAGCCUCCCAAAGUGCUGGGAUUACAGGUGUAAGCCACCAUGCCCAGCCUCCUUCGCCUACUUUUAAAAAUAUAUAUCUAAUUUUAUUUAAAAAUAUAAAUUUUUGGCCGGGUGCAGUGGCUCAUGCCUGUAAUCCCAACACUUUGGGAGGCUGAGGCAGGCAGAUCACCCGAGGUCAGGAGUUCGAGACCAGCCUGGCUAACAUGGCAAAACCCUGUCUCUACUAAAAAUACAAAAAUUAGCCAGGCACAGUGGCAUGCACCUGUAAUCCCAGUUACUUGGGAGGCUGAGGCAGGAGAAUCACUUGAACCCAGGAGGCAGAGGGUGCAGUGAGCUGACAUCAGGCCACUAUACUCCAGCCUGGGUGACAGAGUGAGACUUCGUCUCAAAAAAAAAAGGAAAAAUUGUGAGAGUUUAUUUCUGAACUUCCCAUUCUUUUCCAUUGAUGUAUAUAUCUCUAUCCUUAUGGCAGUACCACACUGUCUUGAUUACCUUCGCUUUGGAGUAAGUUUUGAAAUUGGGAAAGUUUCAGUCUUCCAACUUUGUUCUUCUUUCUCAGGAUUUUUUUUUUUUCUAUUCUGGGUCCUGUGCAUUUCCACAUGAAUUUUAAGAGCAGCUGGUCAGUUUCUGCAAAAUGUUAGGGAUGAAUUGAAUCUAUAGGUCAGUUUGGGGAAUGUUGUCAUCUUAACAGUACUGUCUUCCAAUCCAUUAACAGGAUGUCUUUCCAUUUAUUUAGAUCUUCUUUUUUUUUUUUUUUUUUUUUUGAGAUGGAGUUUUACUCUUGUUGCCCAGGCUAGAGUGCAAUGGCGCAAUCUCGGCUCACCACAACCUCCACCUCCCAGGUUCAAGCAAUUCUCCUGCCUCAACCUCCCAAGUAGCUGGGAUUACAGGCAUUCACCACCACGCCCAGCUAAUUUUGUAUUUUAAGUAGAGACGGGUUUUCUCCACGUCGGUCAGGCUGGUCUCAAACUCCUGACCUCAGGUGAUCCACCCACCUCAGCCUCCCAAAGUGCUGGGAUUACAGGUGUGAACCAGCACGCCCAACUUUAGGUCUUCUUUUAUUUAUUUAUUUAUUUAUUUUUUGAGACAGAGUCUCGCUCUGUUGCCCAGGCUGGAGUGCAGUGGCGCGAUCUUGGCUCACUGCAAGCUCCGCCUCCCGGGUUCAUGCAAUUCUCCUGCCUCAGCCUCCCAAGUAGCUGGGAUUACAGGUGCCCACCACCACGCCCGGCUAAUUUUUUGUAUUUUUAAUAGAGACUGGGUUUCACUGUGUUAGCAAGGAUGGUCUCGAUCUCCUGACCUCAUGAUCCACUCGCCUCAGCUUCCCAAAGUGCUGUGAUUACAGGCAUGAGCCACCGCGCCCAGCCCCUUGCAUUUAUUUUUGACAAUUUUUAUAGUUUUCAGUUUUCAAGUCUUAUAUUUAUUUUGUUAAAUUUAUUUCUAAGUAUUUUAUUCCCUUUGAUGCUACUAUAAAUAUAAUUAUUCCCUUAAUUUCAUUUUCAGAUUAGCACUGCUAAUGAACAAAAAAUGGAUUUUGUAUAUUGAUCUUGUAUCUUGCAAUCUUGCUGAAUUCAUUUAUUUGUUCUAACAGUUUUUUAAUAUGGAAAAUACUAUUUCUAUAUACAAUACUAUUUCUAUAUACAAGAUUACACCGUCUGCAAAUAGAGUUUUACUUUUUCCUUUCCAGUCUAGAUGCCAUUUCUUUUUCUUGCCUAAUUGCCUUAGCUAGAACUUCCAGUACAAUGUUGAAUAGAAGUGAUGACAGUGGACAUCCUUGUCUUGUUCCUGAUCUUCAGGAGACAGUAUUCAGUCUCUCACCAUUAAGUAUUAUUUUAGCUGUGGGUUUUAAGUGGAUGCCUUUUAUCAGAUUGAGGAAGUUCUCUUCUAUUCCUAGUUUGUUGAGUGUCUUUAUCAUAAAAGGGUGCUGCAUUUUGUUCGGUGUUUUUUCUGCAUCUAUUGAGAAGAUCAUAGAUGGGUCUUGUCUUUUAUUCUAUUAUUAUGUUGUAUAUAUUAAUUGGCUUUCAAGUGUUAAACCAACCUUUCAUUCCUAGGAUAAAUCCCACUUGGUUAUGGUGUAUUAUCGCUUUUAUAUGUGCUGGGUUCAGUUUGCUAGGUUUUUUUUUGUUUUUUGUUUUAUUUUGUUUUGUUUGAGAUGGAGUCUCACUUUGUCAUCCAGGCUGGAGUACAGUGGCACAAUCUCAGCUUACUGCACCCUCCACCUCCCAGAUUCAAGUGAUCUCCUUCCUCAGCUUCCCGAGUAGCUGGGAUUACAGACGCACACCACCACGCCCGGCUAAUUUUUGUAUUUUUAGGACAAGAUGGGGUUUUGCCAUGUUGCCCAGGCUGGUCUCUAACUCCUGGCCUCAAGUGAUUCACCCACCUUGGCCUCCCAAAGUGCUGAGACUACAGGUGUGAGCCACAACGCCGGGCCUCAGUUUGCUAAUAUUUUCAUGAGGGUGUUUUACUUCAGUGUAUGAGAUACAUUGGUCUGUAGUUUUCUUAUGUCUUUGUCUAGUUUCCUACCUUACUUUUUAUCUUUGCUUUGUUCCUUUUGAUCAUUUAUUGCAUAGAAUGAUCAUAAUUUUUUACUUAUUCAUCCAACUUUCUUUAUGGAACACCUGUUCUAUGCCAAACACUAUUUUAGGCACUGGGGAUCCCUUAUGGAAAAGACAAAGUCCUUCUCUUAUGGAGUUUAUAUUCUAUGGGGUAAGACACAAAAAAUUAAAUAAGCCAGAAAAUAUCACAUAGUAGUAAAUUAACAUCUUGUCCACUUUAGAUGAGAUGCAUAGGGCAAGUUUCUCUGAAGAUGUGUCCUUUAAGCUGAGGUAUGAUAAGAAGGAGCCAUCCAUAGACCGAUAUGUGAGAGAAGCAUUCCAGACAUAACAUGCUAUUAACUCAUACAGAAUCCACAAGGUAGGAAGAAGUUCUUUGUGUUUGAGAACCAGCAGGAUGGCCAGUGUGGCCAUGGCAGAGUCAGGGAAAAAUGAUAUAAAGUGAGGUAGAAAGCCGCUCGGCAUGCUGGAGGGCACCUGUAAUCCCAGCUACUUGGGAGGCUGGGGCAGGAGAAUUGCUUGAACUCGGGAGGUAGAGGUUGCAGUGAGCUGAGAUCCUGCCAUUGCACUCCAGCCUGGGGAACAAGAGCGAAACUCUGUCUCAAAAUAAUAAUAAUAAUAAUAAUAAGUCAGGUAGGAAAAAUGUGCAGAGUCCAGCUUAUGGAGAGCUUUGUAGCUAGGAUAAGGAAAUUGGAUUUUAUUUUUAUUUAUUUAUUUAUUUAUUUAUUUUUUGAGAAGAAGUCUCACUCUGUCAC
rnacentral:lncRNA from 10 species